CUGGCGGCGUGCCUAACACAUGCAAGUCGAACGGGGAUUUGUUUCGGCAGAAUCCUAGUGGCGAACGGGUGAGUAACGCGUAGGCAACCUGCCCUCCGGCCAGGGACAACACUCCGAAAGGGGUGCUAAUACCGGAUACGAAGUCUGUGCCGCAUGGUACGGAUUUGAAAGAUGGCCUCUAUUUAUAAGCUAUCGCCGGGGGAUGGGCCUGCGUCCGAUUAGCUGGUUGGUGGGGUAACGGCCUACCAAGGCGACGAUCGGUAGCCGGUCUGAGAGGAUGAACGGCCACAUUGGGACUGAGACACGGCCCAGACUCCUACGGGAGGCAGCAGUGGGGAAUCUUCCGCAAUGGGCGCAAGCCUGACGGAGCAACGCCGCCGUGAGUGAGGAAGUUCUUCGGAACGUAAAGCUCUGUUGUUCCUGACGAACCUCCCUUCUAUCAACAACGGAGGGGACUGACGGUAGGGAACGAGGAAGCCACGGCUAACUACGUGCCAGCCGCCGC
rnacentral:rRNA from 1 species